UUUGCCUCUAAUUUCCUGUCUUCAUUUUAGGGACAGAAUCCAGAGUGUGUGAAUCAGAAUUAUUUUGACUGAAAGCCCUGGAAACUCAGCUCAAAUUGGCUGAAGUUGACCUGUGCUCUCAGGCAGCCUCUCCCCACAUGAUGGUGAAGAUGACCACCAGUUGGAUCAGACGUUUAUCCUACCAUCUCAGCAACGCUGGCAGAAAGGGAGCACUUUCUCUGCAGAUGUUCUAGCAAAAGUCUCAUGGCUGAAUUUCAUUGACUUCGCUUGAGUCACAUGCUCACCCCUGAACCACUCUGAUUGACUAUUCUUGGGACAUGCGCUCACCUUGGAGCUGAGAGGAGGAUUAGCCCCAUCCAAACAUCACCAAGUAAGAGAGGCAGAGGCGCUGCACAGGAAAUGGGGCCCCAAAGCCAGAGGAAUGGAGAGUGGGCGCUGAGCAGAUGUGAAGAAUGGAUGUCCGCCUUCAGGGCCAGGCUGGGAUCUUAUGGAUGGAUCUUAUGAAGUAGCUCAGGGGCUCUCUAUGGUUUUCAUUUCUAGAGUCCUGGGAUGUUAGGGCCAGACAAAAGCUCAGAUCUUAUGCAUCUUCUGCCCAACUCUGCAUUUUACAGAUGAGAAAAUUGAAGCUUGAGAAGAUGGGGGCCAUUUGCCCAAAGUCCCUGAGUAUGAAACAUCUAGGGGAGGAGGGCACUGUAUCAACAGUGUAUCAACUUCCAUAUCAACAGUUCUUCUCUGAGUGGCUCAUACCCAUGCUACAGAAGAAGGACUUUUACCCAACCAUGAUGCUACCAAGUCUGUAGCAUCCUAGUACAGAUUGUCCACCACUCAUCACUCAUGUAUGGUCUAGAGACCAGGAGCAUCAGGAUUACCUGGGAGCUGGUGAGAAAGGCAGAAUUUCACGCCCCGCCCCAGACCUACUGAAAUAGAACCUUCACGUGAAAAAGGUCCCCAGCUGAUUGUGUGCAUGUUGAAAUUUGAGAAGCGCUGGUCUCUACCAUGGACAAAAGAGUUCCAGGUGACUCUUCCAUCUGGCCAGGAUUACAGUUAAUCCUAAAACAAGUUCUCUUCUCCUAAACCUUGCAGAAGAGGAGGAUUUUGCAAUCUAUGAGCUUACCAGAAGAUGAUUUCUGGCAUGGGAGACUCUGAGCCAUACUCACCCAGCUAAGCUGCCCCCGGAUUCCUGACCUGCAAGACACGAAGUGAGAUAAUAAAUGGUCUUGUUGUAAGCCUUUCCGUUUCUGGGUAAUUCAUUGUGCAGCAGUAGAUAACUGAUACCAGACCCUUCACUGAGUCUUUUGGGCUUGAAAUGGAGAGAGUCAGGCUAAUUUGGGAUUUGGGAUCUCUUGGCAGACAUUAUUUCCUAUCAUAAAGAUCAGAAUGCCAGAAGAAGCCAGUUUCCAAGCAAGAGAGGGCAAAAUGAGAGAGGGAGAGUGGGAGAGAGAAAGAAGAGAACAGAGAGACGACUGAGGUGUGUGUGUUAUUUCUACCAUUUAUGGGUGACAAAACCCAGAUUUACCUUUACAGGGAUGAGUCUUUUCCCACUCUGUGUUCAUUUCGUUCGAUAGAUCUGGCUGGACGCCCUCGCUUCCUGGGUAAUUAUGUAAUUUACAUAGUUUUAGCGUCAAUAUGAAGUAGUUUCUGAAGCUAGCCUCUGGGGUUUUCAGUUAUCUGAGGCA